rnacentral:rRNA from 1 species
UACGGGGGGGGCAAGCGUUGUUCGGAAUUACUGGGCGUAAAGGGCUCGUAGGCGGCCAACUAAGUCGGAUGUGAAAUCCCCAGGCUCAACCUGGGAACUGCAUCCGAUACUGGAUGGCUUGAAUUCGGGAGAGGGAUGCAGAAUUCCAGGUGUAGCGGUGAAAUGCGUAGAUAUCUGGAGGAAUACCGGUGGCGAAGGCGGCAUCCUGGACCGACAUUGACGCUGAGGAGCGAAGCCAGGGGAGCAAACGGG